AGUGAACGCUGGCGGUAGGCCUAACACAUGCCAGUCGAACGGCAGCACAGUAAGAGCUUGCUCUUACGGGUGGCGAGUGGCGGACGGGUGAGGAAUACAUCGGAAUCUACUUUUUCGUGGGGGAUAACGUAGGGAAACUUACGCUAAUACCGCAUACGACCUACGGGUGAAAGCAGGGGAUCUUCGGACCUUGCGCGAUUGAAUGAGCCGAUGUCGGAUUAGCUAGUUGGCGGGGUAAAGGCCCACCAAGGCGACGAUCCGUAGCUGGUCUGAGAGGAUGAUCCGCCACACUGGAACUGAGACACGGUCCAGACUCCUACGGGAGGCAGCGGUGGGGAAUAUUGGACGAUGGGCGCAAGCCUGAUCCAGCCAUACCGCGUGGGUGAAGAAGGCCUUCGGGUUGUAAAGCCCUUUUGUUGGGAAAGAAAAGCAGCAGGUUAAUACCCCGCUGUUCUGACGGUACCCAAAGAAUAAGCACCGGCUAACUUCGUG
rnacentral:rRNA from 1 species